GCUCUGUGUUGUGAUGGCUAUGUGGUGGUUGCACCAAUUAUGUUGUUCUCUGUGUGUAGUGAUGGUAUGGGACUGCUAUGGUGCUAUGUGGGAGAGGGUGUGUAGAGAUGCUGGCAAUGGCUUGCCGAGAUGGUUGCUAGUUCUCUGUGUGGUAUAUGCUGGUGAUGUUUGUGAGGUGUGUAGAUGGCAUUGGUGAAGCCGGAGCAUUGUUAUGGUAUGUGGCAGUGCUAGCAGAGGAGGAAGCAUUGUGUGAGGGUCGGUGAAAGCAAAA
rnacentral:misc_RNA from 1 species